CAUCUUUGACGUACCAGGCCUCUGUGCUGGUAAGGCAAUUUCUUCAACACCAAACUCAUCCGACCGUGUUUUUAUGGACCUUGCUUUGUGCACUGUGGCACAGUCAUGCUGGAAUAGAAAAGGAAUUUGCACCACUCGAUCCGAUGCUUGGCAUUGUAUUUGGUGAUGUAAGCCUUGUAUGCAGCUGCCCAGUCAUGGAAACCCAUUCCAUGAAACUCCUGCUACAUAGUUUUUGUGCUGAUAUUAUUACCAGUGGAAGUUUGGAACUCUUCAGGCUGCGGAAUUAGCAGAGCAAUGGCGACUUUUACGCACCCUGCGUAUCACCACUCGGCGACCGCUUUACGUGGUCUUCCGAGUAAUG